UCCCCACCACUCCAGUAGCGGCGGGAGCAGCAGCGUUAGGCCGGGGUGUGGCUGCACCUCUGCGAAGGCUGUCGUGCCCCGUGCAGCUGCGGCGUUCGGGUGGGGGAGGGGAGGCUCACACCCUGCGGCGGCUUAAGCCUGGAUUUACGCACUGGAGGAGGGAAUUAGCCCUGAGAUGUCAGCCCUGUGCCCCUGGCUCUGUCCACCCGGACGCCCGCGGAGCGCCAGGCGCCGCAGCGGACCGCGCGCGCACUGAUUGCCGCAGCUACUCUCCCUGCUGUCGCCGCCCGGGACCGGGUGACAUUGAGGUUUUCGUCUAUCGCCGCUGGGCCGAUAGGGCUUCUUUUUAAGAUUUGGCUUUCCAAGUAAGAUUUUUGUUUGCCUGCUUUUCUCCUGAAAUUUUUUUGGUUUUGGUCGAAGAAGCAGGUAACUUGCAUAUCUUAAGGAAAACAUUGUUUUUGCUUUGCUUUUGUUGUUUAAAGAUCCUAAAACGUACCGUGAUUCCUUUACGUUACUAAUAAUUGGAAAGUGUGUUAAAUCAAGGGUUCGCUUAAUGUUCUUUAGCCUUUGUACAUAGAAUAUAUAAAUGUCGUGAGUCAUCUUUACGAGGUU
rnacentral:antisense_RNA from 1 species